rnacentral:lncRNA from 1 species
CUGCUGGUGGUGCUGGUGGAGGUGCUGGUGCUGGUGGCAGUGCUGGUGCUGAUGCUGGUGCUGGUGGAGGUGCUGGUGCUGGUGCUGGUGGCGGUGCUGGUGCUGGUGCUGCUGGCGGUGCUGCUGGUGGUGGCGGUGCUGUGCAUGCGUGCAUGUGUGCGGAGACCUCGGAGAAGACCGGGUGGCUCCCGGCCUCGAGCCUGGGCGCGCUGCACAGAGUAGCCACGUCUGCUCCAGGAGCCAAGCCAAGAGGAACGACAACAAAACCUGCCCCCUGCCCGUGUUAACCACGCGCGGCUGAUGAGUGGGGUGAUCCCGGGUCCCCCUGGGCGCUGCGACCCCGCCCUCUCGGGGAGGCGCCUGCACCCGCCCGGCCCAGGUGCUGCGGAAGGCGCAGGGUGGGGCAGAGGGGGCUGAGGGCUCGCUCGGCCCCUGGGGCUCACUCUCCGGCCAACCAGGACACGCAAGUAAGCGGGGCGCCUUCGCUACCCUCGCCGCGUGGAGCCCCCCACCCCGCCCCGCCCCGAGCGCGCCCCGGCACCCACCCCUCAGGGUGAGCCCGACCUGGACUUGCCCAGAGGAGCGGAGGCCCGGUCGGGCUUCGUCCCCACCACAUCCCCCUCGCUCCCCAUUCGGGAAUGCACCCCAGUCUUGCCCAGGUUGCAGCACUCCCUGCAGGGCCUCCACAGCUCGAGCCUUUGGGUGGCAGGGGUCCGGCUUCCAGUGCACCGCGGCGCACCUCCCCCGUCCCCCCGGAGCAGCUCCAGUGUGCUGCUUGACCUCUCCAAGCCUCGGCUUUCUGGUCUCUGACAUGCGGACAAGGCAAGGCUCUGCAGAUUCGAAGGCCGCAGUGCACAGUCUAGAACACAGCAAAAGCUCCCCACGGCACCUCAGGCCUGCGGUUCAGGCGCCGACCCUGUGAACCAGAGCAAAACCACGAGGGAAAAAAAAAAACAAUAUAAACUUUCACUGGAGCUUGAGUUCUCCCUCCUCUGUUAAAAAAAAAAAUGUAUACUGGCUGGAUGGGCUCCCUGGACUGGGGCUGGGAUCGGGGAAGACAGCAGGUGUCUCUACUGUCUCCCCUCUGGUGUUUUUGUACAUUGUGAACAUGUAACCCAGCUGGGCUGCUAUUUGCCAAAUGGCAAACAAUUGACACUUUCUUGUGGAGGAUGACGUGGCGUGGGGGGAGAAGGCAGCAGGGGGGCCGAGCUCAGAGAUGACGCCUGAGGACCCCAGUGGCCGAGGAUGUGCUCCAGGUGGCCCUGCCACCCCUCCCACACCCAGCAGUCCUCCUGCCACCCUGCAGGCCCCGCACACUCCCGGCAGGGCCUGGAGAGUCAGAUGAGCCAGGUUGUGAGGCCUCAGGGACGGUCCAGCCCUCCCUGCUCUGCUCUCUGCUCCUAAGGUCCUUGGUCACUGCAGUCCCCCGCACGGCCUGCACCUCACCCCCGACCUCCCCCAGUCACCCUGGGGACUGACAGCCUAAAGGUGCUUGUGGCUGUCCUACUAGGGUGCACCCCAUGGGGUGGGAGGUGCCCUGACUGCCCCUCACAGGGGGUCUCAUGGCUCAGGUGCCCCUUGAGGACCUCAGACUGCAGGCACCCUCUGGGUACUGGUUUUAUUUUGCUUUAUUCUUAUUCUUUUUUAAAUUUUUAUUUAUUAUUUAUGAUAGUCACACACAGAGAGAGAGGCAGAGACACAGGCAGAGGGAGAAGCAGGCUCCAUGCACCGGGAGCCCGACGUGGGAUUCGAUCCCGGGUCUCCAGGAUCGUGCCCUGGGCCAAAGGCAGGCGCCAAACCGCUGCGCCACCCAGGGAUCCCUAUUCUUAUUCUUAAACUAAUCUGUACACCUGAUGUGAGGCUUGGACUCAGGACCCUGGGAUCAGAGUCGCAGGCUCCGCUGACUGAGCCGGCCAGGCAUCCUGGAGGCAGUCACACUCACCGCCCCCCUCCGCCAACUCCCCCACCUUGUCUGCCUCCUGCUGGCCCCGCUACCACCUCCACCCGGUCCCUCUGAAGGCCCCUGUGUCCCCUGUCAGAGAGGCUUCUGUGUGGCACCGCAGUGCUUGGGGCAACUGUCUGGCAGGGGACUGUGAACUUGGGUGCAGGAAGGGGCAAGGAGGGGGCAGGAGGCGAUGGGGGGCGGGGAAGAUGGGGGGCAAGGGGGAGAUGGGUGGGGGUGGGAGGGAGCAGGGGAGCAGGAGGUGGUGGGGGGUGGGGGAGCUGGGGGUGUGAGGGGAGCAGGGGGGAGUACACUGGGGGCAGGAGGGGGCAGGGGCAACAGGAGGCGACAAGGGGGGUGGGGAGAGCAGGAGGGGGCAGAUCUCUGCUACCACGGCCUCAGGCUUCCACCCCACAGAACCCGUUCUCUCUGGAUCUGCAACUCCCCCCCCCACCAGGCUUGA